CGGGACGGGGUGAGUAACGCGUGGGUAACCUGCCCUGUACAGGGGGAUAACAGUCAGAAAUGACUGCUAAUACCGCAUAAGACCACAGCACCGCAUGGUGCAGGGGUAAAAACUCCGGUGGUACAGGAUGGACCCGCGUCUGAUUAGCUGGUUGGUGAGGUAACGGCUCACCAAGGCGACGAUCAGUAGCCGGCUUGAGAGAGUGAACGGCCACAUUGGGACUGAGACACGGCCCAA
rnacentral:rRNA from 1 species